GACGAACGCUGGCGGCGUGCUUAACACAUGCAAGUCGAACGCUGAAGCUUGGUGCUUGCACUGGGUGGAUGAGUGGCGAACGGGUGAGUAAUACGUGAGUAACCUGCCCUUGACUCUGAGAUAAGCCUGGGAAACUGGGUCUAAUACUGGAUAUGACAUGCCACUGCAUGGUGGUGUGUGGAAAGGGUUUUACUGGUUUUGGAUGGGCUCACGGCCUAUCAGCUUGUUGGUGGGGUAAUGGCCUACCAAGGCGACGACGGGUAGCCGGCCUGAGAGGGUGACCGGCCACACUGGGACUGAGACACGGCCCAGACUCCUACGGGAGGCAGCAGUGGGGAAUAUUGCACAAUGGGCGGAAGCCUGAUGCAGCGACGCCGCGUGAGGGAUGACGGCCUUCGGGUUGUAAACCUCUUUCAGCACGGAAGAAGCGAGAGUGACGGUACGUGCAGAAGAAGCGCCGGCUAACUACGUG
rnacentral:rRNA from 1 species